CAUUCAGUCAGCCAGUCAGUCAAUCAGCUAGCCAGUCAGUCAACCAGCCAGUUUGCUUUUUUAAGGAGCUCCUCUUCUGUCUUUUUGAUGAAGAACCUGCUGUAUGGAACUGUCGAGGUGUCAGUCACAAUCAUUGUUCUGCUCUGAAGACACUGAGUUGUGAUUGGACGUUAAACAGGAUUUGUCUAGGACACCCAAUGGACAGACGGGACAGGAGUGAAAUGACGUUCUGAGUUAACUACACUCCAGGACGUGUCUAGGACACCCAAUGGACAGACGGGACAGGAGUGAAAUGACGUUCUGAGUUAACUACACUCCAGGACGUGUCUAGGACACCCAAUGGACAGACGGGACAGGAGUGAAAUGACGUUCUGAGUUAACUACACUCCAGGACGUGUCUAGGACACCCAAUGGACAGACGGGACAGGAGUGAAAUGACGUUCUGAGUUAACUACACUCCAGGACNNNNNNNNNNGGUCUGUAUCUGGGUCAGUCCUCUACACAGAGAGACUAGGGCUAAAUAUGGGUCUGGGUCUGUUCUCCACACAGAGAGACUAGGGCUGAAUCUGGGUCUGUUCUCCACACAGAGAGACUAGGGCUGAAUAUGGGUCUGGGUCUGUCCUCCACACAGAGAGACUAGGGCUGAAUAUGUGUCUGUAUCUGGGUCAGUCUGUCCACACAGAGAGACUAGGGCUGAAUAUGUUUCUGGGUCUGUAUCUGGGUCAGCCCUCUACACAGAAAGACUAGGGCUAAAUAUGGGUCUGGGUCUGUCCUCCACACAGAGAGACUAGGGCUGAAUCUGGGUCUGUAUCUGGGUCUGUUCUCCACACAGAGAGACUGGGGCUGAAUCUCAAGAUGAACCCUUAGCCGCUAAUCCUUUUGUGUUUGAUAGUGAUCACUCAACUGCCACUGUUCUGGGACAGGGAGAGACCAGCCUGCCCUCCUCUGCUGUGAGUCCCAUUCAGUCAGCCAGUCAGUCAAUCAGCUAGCCAGUCAGUCAACCAGCCAGUUUGCUUUUUUAAGGAGCUCCUCUUCUGUCUUUUUGAUGAAGAACCUGCUGUAUGGAACUGUCGAGGUGUCAGUCACAAUCAUUGUUCUGCUCUGAAGAC
rnacentral:lncRNA from 13 species